rfam:Caenorhabditis brenneri strain PB2801 C_brenneri-6.0.1_Cont7.8, whole genome shotgun sequence.
CCAACGGCCCUCUUUAGGGCCACAAUCCUGAAUAAUCCUGACAAUUU